GACAGAGGUCCCGAGCGUUAGGCGGAAUCACUGGGCUUAAAGCGUGUGUAGGCGGAUCGUUAAGUGCCUUGUGAAAUCCCACGGCUUAACCGUGGAACUGCUUGGCAUACUGGCGGUCUUGAGCCACCUAGGGGCAACCGGAACAAACGGUGGAGCGGUGAAAUGCGUAGAUAUCGUUUGGAACGCCAAUGGUGAAAACAGGUUGCUGGGGGUGUGCUGACGCUGAGACACGAAAGCCAGGGGAGCGAACGGG
rnacentral:rRNA from 1 species